rnacentral:rRNA from 1 species
GAGACUCUGUGCGCGUGCAUAUCAAUAAGCGGAGGAAAAGAAACUAACAAGGAUUCCCUUAGUAACGGCGAGUGAAGCGGGAAGAGCUCAAAUUUGAAAUCUUCAAGGUUCUACCUUGACGAAUUGUAGUUUAUAGAAGUGUUUUCUGUUAGUAGAGUGGCAAAAGUUCUUUGGAAUAGGACAUCAUAGAGGGUGAGAAUCCCGUAUUUGGUCAUUCUUUCUAGCUUUGUGAUACACUUUCAACGAGUCGGAUUGUUUGGGAAUGCAGUCCAAAAUGGGUGGUAAAUUUCAUCUAAAGCUAAAUAUUGGCGAGAGACCGAUAGCGAACAAGUACCGUGAGGGAAAGAUGAAAAGAACUUUGAAAAGAGAGUUAAACAGUACGUGAAAUUGUCAAAAGGGAAGCGUUUGACACCAGUGUUGUUUUUCCGAAAAUCAAUUACGAAUGUUUUAUUUUUGAGAAGUUAUGACUUCAUCGGCUUGCUUCUCUCUUUACUGAAACUUUCUUAAUGCACUUUUCGGUUAACAAGUCAACAUCAAUUUCUUUUGUUGUAAAAGGGUAUGAGGAAGGUGGCUUUCUUUUCGGAGAAAGUGUUUAUAGCCUUGUACCUCUGCAAUCGGAGAGAUUGAGGUCUGCAGCGUAGAUCCUUCGGGGUUAGAUACAUUUGUGCUAAGUUAUAGCUUUUCAUAGACAACUUGUUGACUAUGUUAGUCUUGUAGCUUACUCGCUUAUGCUAUUUUACCUACGCUUAGGAUGUUGAACUCUAUCACACACAG